rnacentral:rRNA from 1 species
UACGAAGGGUGCAAGCGUUAAUCGGAAUUACUGGGCGUAAAGCGUGCGUAGGCGGUUAUAUAAGUGAGAUGUGAAAGCCCUGGGCUCAACCUAGGAACUGCAUCUUAUACUGUAUAGCUAGAGUAUUGUAGAGGGUAGUGGAAUUUCCGGUGUAGCGGUGAAAUGCGUAGAGAUCGGAAGGAACACCAGUGGCGAAGGCGGCUACCUGGACAAAUACUGACGCUGAGGCGCGAAAGCGUGGGGAUCAAACAG